GACGAACGCUGGCGGCGUGCCUAAUACAUGCAAGUUGAGCGCUGAAGGAUGGUACUUGUACCAACUGGAUGAGCAGCGAACGGGUGAGUAACGCGUGGGGAAUCUGCCUUUGAGCGGGGGACAACAUCUGGAAACGAAUGCUAAUACCGCAUAAAAACUUUAAACACAAGUUUUAAGUUUGAAAGAUGCAAUUGCAUCACUCAAAGAUGAUCCCGCGUUGUAUUAGCUAGUUGGUGAGGUAAAGGCUCACCAAGGCGAUGAUACAUAGCCGGCCUGAGAGGGUGGACGGCCAAAAUGGGAAUGGGACACGGCCCAAGAUCCUUCGGGAAGCCACAGUAGGGAAACUUCGGAAAUGGGCGAAAGGCUGAACGAGCAACGCCGCGUGGGUGGAGAAGGUUUUCGGAUCGUAAAACUCUGUUGGUAGAGAAGAAAGUUGGUGAGAGUGGAAAGCUCAUCAAGUGACGGUAACUAACCAGAAAGGAACGGCUAACUACGUG
rnacentral:rRNA from 1 species